rnacentral:rRNA from 2 species
CAAAUCAGACAAGGCGACCCGCUGA